GAUGAAGAACGUAGCGAAAUGCGAUACUUGGUGUGAAUUGCAGAAUCCCGUGAACCAUCGAGUCUUUGAACGCAAGUUGCGCCCGAAGCCACUAGGCCGAGGGCACGCCUGCCUGGGCGUCACACGCCGUUGCCCCCCCAUCUACUCCUUCGGGAUUGCGGGGGGGCGGAUGAUGGCCUCCCGUGCGCCUAGCCGCGCGGUUGGCAUAAAUACCAAGUCCUCGGCGACGCACGCCACGACAAUCGGUGGUUGCGAAACCUCGGUUGCCCGUCGUGUGCGUUCGUCGCGCAUCGAGGGCUCGAAAAAAUGCUCGGCUCCGGCUGGGCUUUUAACGCGACCCCAGGUCAGGCGGGGUUACCCGCUGAAUUUAAGCAUAUCAAUAAGCGGAGGA
rnacentral:misc_RNA from 1 species